AAUGGAUCUAUGAUGUUAUUUUAAACUGCGUUAUCUAUCUGAAACCUCAAUAGAGGAACUGAGGAUGAAGUAUUACGCUGAGAUCCAUU